CAGCAGCCGCGGUAAUACCGGCGGCCCGAGUGGCGGGCACUAUUAUUGGGCUUAAAGCGUCCGUAGCCGGGUUGGGAAGUCCUCCGGGAAAUCUGGCCGCUUAACGGUCAGAAUGCCGGAGGAUACUCCCAGCCUAGGGAGCGGGAGAGGCCGAGGGGAUUCCCGGGGUAGGGGGGGAAUCCUAUAAUCCCGGGAGGGCCACCUGUGGCGAAGGCGCUCGGCUGGAACGCGUCCGACGGUGAGGGACGAAGGCCAGGGGAGCAAACCGGAUUAGAUACCCGGGUAGUCCUGGCUGUAAACGAUGCGGACUUUGUGUCGGACAAGCUAUGAGCUUGUCCGGUGCCGGAGGGAAACCGUUAAGUCCGCCGCCUGGGGAGUACGGCCGCAAGGCUGAAACUUAAAGGAAUUGGCGGG
rnacentral:rRNA from 1 species